rnacentral:rRNA from 1 species
UACGAAGGGGGCUAGCGUUGCUCGGAAUCACUGGGCGUAAAGCGCACGUAGGCGGACUCUUAAGUCGGUGGUGAAAUCCUGGAGCUCAACUCCAGAACUGCCUUCGAUACUGGGAGUCUCGAGUUCGGGAGAAGUGAGUGGAACUGCGAGUGUAGAGGUGAAAUUCGUAGAUAUUCGCAAGAACACCAGUGGCGAAGGCGGCUCACUGGUCCGGUACUGACGCUGAGGUGCGAAAGCGUGGGGAGCAAACAGG